CCGGUUGAUCCUGCCAGAGGCCAUUGCUAUCAGGGUUUGACUAAGCCAUGCGAGUCGAGAGGUGUAAGACCUCGGCAUACUGCUCAGUAACACGUGGUUAACCUGCCCUAAGGUGGAGGAUAAUCUCGGGAAACUGAGGGUAAUACUCCAUAGGUCUGAUCUGCUGGAAUGCUUUCAGGCCGAAAACUCCGGUGCCUUAGGAUUGGUCUGCGGUCUAUCAGGCUGUAGUGGGUGUAACGGACCCACUAGCCCGUGACGGAUAUGGGCCUUGAGAGAGGGAGCCCAGAGAUGGACUCUGAGACAUGAGUCCAGGCCCUACGGGGCGCAGCAGUCGCGAAAACUUCGCAAUGGGGGCAACCCCGACGAGGGAAUUCCAAGUGCCAGCACUUUGUGUUGGCUGUUCUCCUGUCUAAAAAACAGGAGGAGUAAGGGGCGGGUAAGACGGGUGCCAGCCGCCGCGGUAAUACCCGCGCCCCUAGUGGUGGUCGAUAUUAUUGAGCCUAAAACGUCCGUAGCCGGUCUUUUAAAUCCUUGGGUAAAUCGGACAGCUUAACUGUCCGAAGUCCGGGGAGACUGGAAGACUUGGGACCGGGAGAGGUCAGAGGUACUUCUGGGGUAGGGGUAAAAUCCUGUAAUCCUGGAAGGACCACCGGUGGCGAAGGCGUCUGACUAGAACGGAUCCGACGGUGAGGGACGAAGCCCUGGGGCGCAAACGGGAUUAGAUACCCCGGUAGUCCAGGGUGUAAACGCUGCGGGCUUGGUGUUGGGGGUCCUUAGUGGGCGCCCAGUGCCGGAGAGAAGUUGUUAAGCCUGCUGCUUGGGGAGUAUGUCCGCAAGGAUGAAACUUAAAGGAAUUGGCGGGGGAGCACCGCAACGGGAGGAGCGUGCGGUUCAAUUGGAUUCAACGCCG
rnacentral:rRNA from 1 species